rnacentral:tRNA from 1 species
GGGAAGUUGGCUCAGUGGUAGAGCACUUGCCUUGCAUGCAUGAGGUCCUGGGUUGGAUUCCUCA